CAGGAAAGCCGGGUAAUCGCUUCGCACUUAUGUGCGGGGAGGAAAGUCCGGACACCAACAAGUACCGCGCUCAACGAUCCUUCGGGCGAAGUUGAGGCCCGGAUGGAGUGAUCUUGCCGGGAUAGAAAGUGCAACAGAAAAUAAACCGCCACAUCGCAAUGCGGUGGGGUAAGGGUGAAAAGGUGAGGUAAGAGCUCACCGUCUCGUACUGCGAAGUCGGGAGCUAGGUAAACCUCGCGGGGUGCAAGCUCAUGUAGGUGGUAUGCGCCGCUUGUCGUGACGCCACCGGGUGGAGUGCACCAGAUAAAUGAUUACCGAAUCCGUCAGCUGACGGAGGAACAAAAUCCGGCUUACAGGCUUUCCUGCUAA
rnacentral:RNase_P_RNA from 1 species